GACGAACGCUGGCGGCGUGCUUAACACAUGCAAGUCGAACGAAGUGGCGACCGGGUGAGUAAUACGUGGGUAAAAUGCCCUCCUUGUUGGGGUAAGCCUUGGGAACGGGGUCUAAUACAGAAUAUAGGGGGAUGGGCUCGCGGCCUAUCAGCUUGUUGGGGUGGUGAGGGCCUACCGAGGCGGUGACGGGUAGCCGGCCUGAGAGGGUGACCGGACGCAGUGGGCAGGAGAUACGGCACGGACUGCUACGGGUGGGAGCAGUGGGGGAUAUGGCACAGUGGGCGGGAGCAAGAUGCAGCGAUGCCGCGUGGGGGAUGAAGGCUUACGGUUUGUAAACCGCUGUGGCUGUCGAACGGUUGGGUGGAGAGGAAGCGCCGGCUAACUGCGUGCCAGCAGCCGCGGUAAUAC
rnacentral:rRNA from 1 species